rnacentral:lncRNA from 1 species
GUUUAACUGUAAAUAUAUAUUUUUAAAUGUCUAGAGGACACACACAUGAAACCUAGGUUUUCUGCAUAUGUGGAUAAUGUUAUGCUUCUCUGGUUAUUUUCAGAUCCCAGAAGAUGCAAGCCUCUCGCCAGAGCAGGCAGGGUCAUAGCCCAAAUGAAGCAGAACCCCAGAACCAAACAAGGUCAAGCACAGAGAAUCAGACUAGAUCCAACCAGGAUCCAGAAGCAACGUGCGAAAAGCAUCAAGGGUGGGCCCCCUCAGCACUGUGGAUUGAACUGGAUGAAUCUCAGGGUCCCCAGUGUGAGGAGAGCCAGUGUGGUGUAGUGGUUAGGAGCGGUGGACUCGUAAUCUGGUGAACUGGGUUCGCUUCCCCACCCUUCCACAUGCAGCUGCUGGGUGACCUUGGGCCAGUCACACUUCUCUGAAGUCUCUCAGCCUCACUCAUCUCACAGAGUGUUUGUUGUGGGGGAGGAAGGGAAAGGAGAAUGUUAGCCACUUUUGAGACUACUUUGGGUAGUGAUAAAGCAGGAUAUCAAAUCCAAACUCUUCUUCUUCUUCUUCUUCCCCUCCAGCUCCACAAUUCUACAAUUCUUUGGCCUUGCCUGAUCAUCUGGGUCCUUGACCUGGGGAGAUGACAGAUGUCGGAUCAUCUCAGAUUUCUUCAGUUGAGUGCCGGCUUUAACUCGGACCCAUCUCUAGGUGGUUUAGUGGGAGUGAGGCUGAAGAGAAUAUAAGGCAGAAAUGAUGACAGAGAAAUGUCCUAGCUUGGGGCUCUGGGUGCAGAGAGGAGGGAAGCUCAGUAUGAGGCCUUGAAACUUCUUGUUAUAGGUUAUGUUGGAUAUAUUGUUGUGUAAUACAAUGGUACCUCAGGUUACAGAUGCUUCAGGUUACAGACUCCGCUAACCCAGAAAUAGUAUCUCGAGUUAAGAACUUUGCUUCAGGAUGAGAACAGAAAUUGUGUGGUGGCGGCAUGGCGGCAGCAGGAGGCCCCAUUAACUAAAGUGGUACUAAAGUGGUACCUCAGGUUAAGAACAGUUUCAGGUUAAGAACAGACCUCCAGAACGAAUUAAGUUCUUAACCCGAGGUACCACUGUAUAUUUUUUUAAAAACUUUGUAUUCAAAUAAAAUACCUUUUAUGCCCUCUAUGAAUAAAUGUGUGUGUGUGUGUGUGUGUGUGUGUAUGCAUGAGUCUUUGACCCAGGUGGAAAAAAAAAAGCCUAGUUUCAUCACUGGAUAGUUCGCACCUGGAAAGGGGACUCAAUAGGCCCAUAACUCCCUUGGCAGACCAGAAGUCCAGUGCUGCGUUACGUUUUUGGAUGAUUAGAUUUUUCCAGCUGGGGAGAAAAAGUUUCAGAGGUGUGCUGAAAAAGUUGCAACCUACCCUUAAGGUCCAACUCUUUCUUUCUCUCCACUGGAGGUUUUUAAACAGAGGUUGAAUGGCCAUCUGUCAGGGAUUCUUUAGCUGUGAUUCCAGCUUUGCAGGGGGUUGAACUAAGUGAUCCCUGGGAUCCCUUCCUGCUCUUCUAUGAUUCAUUAACACCCUGCAUAUUUUGCUUGUCUGCCCUGCUUUUGUAGGAGCCUACAGCAGUACGAAGCUAUGAUCUUUGUCCAUUGCCGCACCUAAUUGGUUUGUUUGUUUUGCACCAGGCCCUCCCUGCCACCCUUGGCCUGUGCCCUCCUGAAAAGUUUCCUAAUGGGGAAUCUAUGACCUGGGCUGAGAAAAAAGGAUCCCUUACCCCUCGCGGGUGGCGCUGUGGUCUAAACCACAGAGCCCAGGGCUUGCCGAUUAGAAGGUCGGCGGUUCAAAUCCCCGUGUUGGGUGAGCUCCCGUUGUUCAGUCCCUGCCAGAAGUGGCUUAGUCAUGCUGGCCACAUGGCCCGGAAGCUGUAUGCCAACUCCCUUGGCCAGUAAAGCAAGAUGAGCGCCGCAACCCCAGAGUCAUCCACGACUGGACCUAAUGGUUUGGGGUCCCUUUACCUUUACCCCUUGCUUUAGGACAUCAACUGGCCAUCUCUCUGCAAACAGUUUAAGGGGCUAUGGUUGGCUUGAUCAGUCUUGUAUGCAUUGCAGCUGUCUCACUUUUAGAGGGCUACGAGAGAUUAUUGCGGCAUAUUGCCAAGGAAUGUGGAGUGGUGGUUGUAGCUGUUAGGUAAGUGCCAUCUCCAUCUUGCCAUUGCUCCCUGAUUACGCUCUUAAACCCCAAGGCAUUUCAGCACCUGUGGAGAAACACCCGCUGUUGCACCUGCGUUGGGAAUGCAAUCUCCUAAAGGAGUCUCCCCUGCUCUCCUCAACAACAGCGGAAGCGUUCCAGAGAGAUCUUUUGCCAGUCCCCCUAGAGACAAGGGAGACCAGAAACGCUCUUUUAAUCAAACCUCUAAAUUUGAAAAAGAGCUGUUAGAAAAUAAGAUUACGUUGCUUUCUAAAAUGCAAUUAGAAAUUGCUUUCUAAAUUAAAGCAUACAAAAGAUAAACAGGUUACAUCAGCUAUGAUACACUGGGUGAGGGACUUCGGAAAUAAUAUACAACUUACAGCAUGGCAGAAGUUAUGGAACUGAGACUUGAGGUUUACAGCAUGUUAUACUUUGAAAGAAAAUUGUAUGAAAAUGAUGUAUUGUUGGUACUUAACUCUUAGUAAAUUAGCUAAAAUGUAUAAAACAAGGUCACAUACAUGCUGGAAAUGUAAGGAAAAAGAAGGUAACUUUUAUCACAUGUGGUGGACUUGUAAAGUAGUAAAAGAAUUUUAGGAGAUGACAUAUAAUGAACUGGAAAAAAUGUUUAAAAUAACAUUUCCUUUAAAAACCCCUAAACUUUCCUUCUAGGAAUUCUGGGUGCCGAAAUACCAAUGGGUCAGAAAAGACCAUUUAUGUACAAGACCACUGUGGUUCGGAUGUUACUAGUGCAGAGAUGGAAAGAAGACAUACCAGAGAAGAAUGGCAAAUUAAACUGAUGGCGUAUGCCAAAAUGGCAAAAAUGACCAGAAGAAUUAGAAAGCGGGAAGACCAAAAUUUUAAUAAGGAAUGGGAAAAAUAUAUUAUUUACCUUAAAAAUCAUGGUAAACAAUUGAAAUUAUUAUUAGGAUUGGAAUGAUGGUUUCAGUUUAAUGUUGAACUUUGCUUGUAAUGGAGAUUUAACAGAUUUGGAUUAAUAGAGAAGAAGCAGGAGGAAAAAUGUUAACAUAAGGACCCACAAAGGGGAGGAGGGAAGUUCAGGG